rnacentral:rRNA from 1 species
CCUACGGGAGGCAGCAGUGGGGAAUAUUGGACAAUGGGCGCAAGCCUGAUCCAGCCAUCCCGCGUGUGUGAAGAAGGCCUUCGGGUUGUAAAGCACUUUUGUUGUGGAAGAAAGCGUACGGUUUAAUACUUCGUGCGGAUGACGGUAGCCAAAGAAUAAGCACCGGCUAACUUCGUGCCAUCAGACGCGGUAAUACGAAGGGUGCAAGCGUUACUCGGAAUUACUGGGCGUAAAGCGUGCGCAGGCGGUUCNUUAAGUCUGCUGUGAAAGCCCUGGGCUCAACCUGGGAAUGGCAGUGGAUACUGGCGAGCUAGAGUACGGUAGAGGAAGGUGGAAUUCCCGGUGUAGCGGUGAAAUGCGUAGAGAUCGGGAGGAACACCAGUGGCGAAGGCGACCUUCUGGACCAGUACUGACGCUCAUGCACGAAAGCGUGGGGAGCAAACAGGAUUAGAUAUCCCUGGUAGUCCACG